AGCUGGGCACUCUAAGCAGACUGCCGGUGACAAACCGGAGGAAGGUGGGGAUGACGUCAAAUCAUCAUGCCCCUUAUGACCUGGGCUACACACGUACUACAAUGGCCGGUACAACGGGAAGCGAAGGAGCGAUCUGGAGCCAAUCCUAGAAAAGCCGGUCUCAGUUCGGAUUGUAGGCUGCAACUCGCCUACAUGAAGUCGGAAUUGCUAGUAAUCGCGGAUCAGCAUGCCGCGGUGAAUACGUUCCCGGGUCUUGUACACACCGCCCGUCACACCACGAGAGUUUACAACACCCGAAGUCGGUGAGGUAACCGCAAGGAGCCAGCCGCCGAAGGUGGGGUAGAUGAUUGGGGUGAAGUCGUAACAAGGUAGCCGUAUCGGAAGGUGCGGCUGGAUCACCUCCUUUCUAUGGAGA
rnacentral:rRNA from 1 species